AUAGUGACCGGACGCGUGGUAAUGACCACCUCCGAAGUUGUUGCCGUUUGACACGUGUCCCGGCUGGCUGACAAGUGGAGAUCUCAUUUUAAAGGCUACAGUUACUUGAUGACGUGGGAAGAUCGAUUGAAUCAAUGCUGUCUGUUUCUAAUCAUAAUUUUUUUGACUAUUCGUUAAAAAUAUCUAUUUUGACUACUCAUAUCUCAAUGCUUAUCCGUUGAAAUAAACUGAUGAAUGAAGGCUUUCAAAUUUGCGAAAACAAUAAAAAAAUCUUUAAGAAAGUGACACGUUAAUGGCAUCGGAUUUUGGUACGUGAAUCUUAUAAGUUUUUUAAAAUUAUUUUUUAUUAUCACAUGAGAAUCGGUCCACAUAAGGCUGGUGCCGUGAUGGGCAUUUGGUCGGCGAUGAUGGGUCCUGAUUUGAUUUUAGAUUAUAAUUUUUGAUAAGUUUUACUCGUUUGAAUCUUAAUCAUGUGACAAGAGGUUACUUAUAAACAAUGGCUUUACUUGUUAGACAUGUGUUACGUGGCACAAUAAUCAAUAUUUUUCGCAUCAAUCAAGAAAGCUAGCCAAGAUUCUGGUAAGCAAUGUAAUAUGAGUUUUUAACAUUAAAAAGAAUAAUACGUGUUUGUUGGGUGGCCACAACGUAAGCCUUAAUCAUUGAUUUGAUUACGUGCCGGUGAAAGAUUUGUGGGGGCUAAAGCCUUAUUGAAAUAUUAACUAGGUAUAAGUUUAAACUAAUCAUGGAGAUCAAUAAUUGUAUUCUAUUCUCGAAGCCGAAGGCGGAGAUGCAAGUUGAAAUAUUAAAAUAAUUAUCGUGGGAGUCAAAAUUUUUUGGACAUGGAACUUUUAAUAAACAGUAAUCGGGACGAGCGUCUAUGCAUUCUCAAAUUUAGUUAAAAUUUUCAUCAUGUAAAUAUUCUUAAAUUAAAUUAUUGAUAUAGACUUAUUAGAUUCACUGCUUAAAUAUUAGGAGAGAAAUACAAGGAUACGAUGAGACAAUUUUACCCUCAUUUUCCUUACCAACAUUUUCUUCUACAAACCAUUAACACUCAAUACUAAGUUUUAAUAAAUCCACGAAAGGGUAUGUUUAUUUUUUAAAAAAAAAAGUUUGGAUUUUAGCAAAGUUGAUGAGGAAUUUGUGAGUUUGAAAGUGUUUCCAAUGAGAAUGCUUAGGAGCGAUACUAAGAAAAAUCACGACAAUAGGAUGGCUUCAAUGCUUAGCACAGAUGAAAAUUUCGGUUGAGAUGCAAUAACAAAAUGAGUUGAGUAGAUUAUUAAUUACUAGAGCUAACUGCCCAUAAAUUAUUUCAAGUGUGAAAUUUGACAGCUCUUCUCCAAACCACCCGAGUGAGAAAAACAGAUAACGGUCCUUUUCAAACUGUGCAAAUUAGAAACGGUAUUAUAUUUAGAAUUAUAAAUGGUGGUAAGAGUAAAAUUUUGAUUUGUAAAUUUUAAAUACUGAGUGUAGAGAGUAAACAAGUGUUUCGAGUAGUAAUUAGAGUGAAUAUAACCCCAUCCUUAAUAUAAACUUAUGAUUUUAAAAAAUAACGAAAUGAUAUAUAUAACAUAUUAUCUAUAUAACUCAUAAUGUGGACUUGACAUAUAUCACAAUGCAACUUCUUUUUUACACACCACGGAAAGUUGGAAGCCACGCAAUGAUAAGCUUUAUGAUAAAUACUAAUUUAUAAAUAUUAAUACAGUAAAACCUCUCUAAAGUAAUGCUUUAUAUAAGAAUAACUUUCGUGUAGUCACAAAAAUUUUGAUCCUAACUUAGAUUAGUUAUAAAUAAGAAUAAAUGUUACAUUAUAAUAAGUUUUAAUUUUUUAAAAUUUUGUCUUAAGGAUCUUGCAUCCACGUAUUAAUAAUUAUUUAUAUAUUGCAGAAAAUGUACCUUAUAUUAUAUUAAAGGAGCUUGUAUCCAUAUAGAAUAGUAAGAAAACGAGAGAAAAGCAUUAAAAAGAAUGCAAAAGUUUUAAGACUUUUAUGAUAAUUCUGCAUAUUUGCAACAAUGUGUAGAAACAUUUACUAUAUUUUUGAAAUUAUGUAUGUCUCUUUUAACAAUAUCUAUACAUUGGAUUUGACAUGUGCCUUAACAAUUUUUUACUACACCUCUAUUAAGUUAUAGCUUCCUCGUAAUAAUAAAUUAGUUUGGUCCCAACAUUGUAAGUAUAGAGAGGUUUAACUGUAUAUAUUAGUGUAAGUUUUUUCUUGAAAUUAUAUUUUAGUGUAACUUUAGGGGAAAAAAAUGCAAUAAGAGCAAAGAUUGAUUAAUGGAUAAAAAUAAUUUAACACAUACUACUAAUCAACCGUCAAUUUUUUUCAAGAAAAAACCAAUAACUACUUUAUAACUUGAUUAAGAAUAUUUUUAUUUGUUUAGCAUAUAAAACUUGUUGAAAAUACGAGUUAAUAUUGCUUCUUUGAAUUCCAAAAUCAGUCGAAAUAGCAACACUAACCAACAAACCCAAAAUCAUCAAAGGCAUGCAUGAAACAUUGUCAUUGAGACCAAUUUCCGCACAUCAAAGGAAUAUUUUCCAAUUCAAAAAAGGCAAAUAAAGUGGUUUGAUCUCUAAGAGACAACGACACUGUUGUGAGAUUGAACUCUUAAACACAACAGUUUAGAAUAACAAAAGUAAAUUGAUGAAGAAAAUAUGAGACAGAAAUAGAGAGCGAUAGUUAGAACAAGUCGAUUGUUCUCUUUUCUUUUUAUUCUUAUAGUAGUCCUCAUUAAAUGCUUUGUAUGUCUCUCUUAUAGACUUUUUUUUUUAAUAAUUCAAUUUGAAUUAGUCACCCAAUUUUUUUAUUUAAUGUGAAUUAGUCAUCCAUAUUCUUAUAAUUUAAUCCAACUUAAAUAAUAACAAUUUUUUACUACACCUCUAUUAAGUUAUAGCUUCCUCGUAAUAAUAAAUUAGUUUGGUCCCAACAUUGUAAGUAUAGAGAGGUUUAACUGUAUAUAUUAGUGUAAGUUUUUUCUUGAAAUUAUAUUUUAGUGUAACUUUAGGGGAAAAAAUGCAAUAAGAGCAAAGAUUGAUUAAUGGAUAAAAAUAAUUUAACACAUACUACUAAUCAACCGUCAAUUUUUUUCAAGAAAAAACCAAUAACUACUUUAUAACUUGAUUAAGAAUAUUUUUAUUUGUUUAGCAUAUAAAACUUGUUGAAAAUACGAGUUAAUAUUGCUUCUUUGAAUUCCAAAAUCAGUCGAAAUAGCAACACUAACCAACAAACCCAAAAUCAUCAAAGGCAUGCAUGAAACAUUGUCAUUGAGACCAAUUUCCGCACAUCAAAGGAAUAUUUUCCAAUUCAAAAAAGGCAAAUAAAGUGGUUUGAUCUCUAAGAGACAACGACACUGUUGUGAGAUUGAACUCUUAAACACAACAGUUUAGAAUAACAAAAGUAAAUUGAUGAAGAAAAUAUGAGACAGAAAUAGAGAGCGAUAGUUAGAACAAGUCGAUUGUUCUCUUUUCUUUUUAUUCUUAUAGUAGUCCUCAUUAAAUGCUUUGUAUGUCUCUCUUAUAGACUUUUUUUUUUUUAAUAAUUCAAUUUGAAUUAGUCACCCAAUUUUUUUAUUUAAUGUGAAUUAGUCAUCCAUAUUCUUAUAAUUUAAUCCAACUUAAAUAAUAAAAAUCGCAUGUAGAUUUGACUUAUUCAACUCUAAUUUAUAAUUAAAUCAAUAUAUAACUAGUUUCAAAUCAAAUACAAAACAAUUACUCGCAUUCCGUCCAACUAGGGAUAUUAGUAUUUUGGAAGAUCAUAUAAUUCCAACAUUACUUACCUGAAUCCAAAAUUAGCCUCUCAGUUUAAACGCUUGAAGGCCUUGACUUGAGUUACACUUUUUUUUUUCUUUUUUUCCUGUCCUUAAGCAGCUCCGAGAAUCAAUUACUUUGAAAGAAAGGAAGGAGAGAAAUCAAGAAAGCUUUGUGUUGUGUCCGGACUCCGGAACCACAAGGGGACCGACUGCUGAGUCCUGACCGAUGAAAGAGAGAGUCUAGGCCCGCCGUUCGCGCACCUCUCUUAUUCAACUUUUGAUAAAAGAUGCCACUGUUACCUCACUUUCUUCACUUUCAGUUGUACGAGUUGAAGCGUACUGCGUGCGUAAAAUAGCUAGACGCGACGCACCGCCAGUCCAGCUCUGUCCAUGCAAAGGAACCGACACCGAUUGAUUGCUUAGCCCGUGCACGUGCGACUUUAUUACUCCUUUAUUUCUGGUUCUAAACCAAAUGUUAUGUCAAUAUUCUUGUAUUUCUUUUGAGUAUGGGCAAUCCCUAUUUUAUAUGCAUGUAAGAUAUAUUCUCUUCACAUGAACGGUGCGUUGAGGUUCCAUAACCCUGUAUUAUUUGUUAUCAAAGUGACAUUUCAUUUUGAUGAUGUUCGGGAGUGAGUGAAAUAUUCUCGACUACUAAUUGAAAUGUGUGUUUAGCUUACAACUUACUCUCAAACCAUACCACAAUAUCUGAUAAAACCUCUUUUUCAUUAAAAUUACAAUUUUUUUUCUCUAUUUAAAUACCGAGUGAAAAGGAGUUGAAUGCCAAUAAUUAAUUUGAAUUAAGUAUAUUUUCUAUUCUAGUUUAAAACUUUUAAAUGAAAUUCUAUUUUAAAGACC
rnacentral:lncRNA from 1 species